UUCCUGUCUGAGUUUCACUGGCACAGGAUUAAAUUGCCUCUUCCACGUAAGUGUACUCGCAGCAAACCACAGGCCUGUGUGCUUUGUCACUACUAUUGCACUUACCAGCCUGCAAGUCUGAGUGAAGACUGUAAUCUGGGACUAGGUAUCAACAGGAGUCCCAGGUAGGCAAAGAAUGCAAGAUGGACACAAUUUGCAGUUUGUAAGCCACAGACGCUGUUUUUUUUCCUCUCAUCCGGGCUUCAACAUACCCUGGCAACAUCAUGUAAAAGAUGGCUGAUCAAAGACUUCAGUGAGCGUCUAUUUCUGAUUACCCCAACCACAAACAGAUGGAGACCAUCAGCUCAUUCACUCCGUGUCAUGUACCUCACCGCAGUCACACUGAGGAGAGCCACCGGGGCAAGUUUUGAUAACCAAGUGCUCACUGCAUUUUCCUGUUUUCUGUAUGGACGGGCCUGCUUGCAUCUGUUGCACUGCCAUGGAGCGAUCCCUGAAGCCCCAUAGCAUGGAGCAAACACAGCCGCUGCUACGACUUGCAGUGCUCACAGAGCAGCUGACAACCUGCAUGAAAUCCCUGCUUUCUGCAACUGACAGUGAAACUCUUAAAGAACAUAUGCAACGGCAGAAUGGUGUGAACAGCCUUGAAAAGAGGAUCAAGCAUCUGUGGGGUAUUGCUGCUCCAAACACAAUCAGAAAGAUGAGCUGACCUCACUGUCCUGUGGUGCAGUCAGAGUGGUAUUCUCAGGGAGCACAUCCCCAUCUGCUGGGGAAGGGGCAUCCCCACCAGCUUCUGCUGGGACAGCACUGCAAGGCGUGGUUUCCUCCCUUUGCACUUCAACCCUACAGAUGCAGUUACACCUGUCAGAUUUGUUCAUUUGAUGCAUUCUUCUCGACACUGCUUUCAGACCAUUUAUAAUUUGCUAUUUACCUCUAAAUGACUAAUUUCCCAGUUUAAAAUAGAGCUUUAUGGAGCAGAAGAUGUUAAAUACAUGGUAAGCCUUCUGUGUCUUUCACCAGUGAAAAAGUAUAAUCACAAAGGUUUGUAAAGAGGCUGUCAGAGCUUACUAUUCACUGAUGGUUAGUCAUGCUUCGUACUGUUAUUCGAUAUUUGGAAUGAGACUUGGUUCAUUUGCAAACAUUCUUAACGUGCUGCAUAAUGUCAGAGAUUACUGGUUUCCUGCAAAUGAAUUUUUCUCUCUCUGUUUAAAAGCGUUUAAUAGAAAAACAUUGUGAGUAUCUCAAUUUAGAGCUGUUUCUCUGGUUCGAAGGGCCGAGUGUUGAUCAAAUCCCACCAUCUACUGGGACUCCGCGGAACUACAGCGCUGCUUUAGAGCGUGCUCUGAAGAAUGCUGGAUGCCCCACUUGCUCUGCAGCUCACCAGACAGCUACUGCCAAGUGCUAUUUAGACACUGCAGUUAUUGGACUAGUAAAGUUUUGAUCUGACCUGGAA